rnacentral:tRNA from 1 species
GGUGGCUCAGUGUUAGAGCGCUUGCCUUGCAAGCACGAGGCUCUGGGUUCGAUUCCUCAGCACCA